AUGAACCGGGCGCUUGUAUGUUUGCUGACGGCUGCUUGGAGCCUGGGAAUCAGUGGACAGGCGGUGCACCAGCCGGAACGGGACGUCCGCACCGUGGAGGGUGCAGCAGUGACGCUGGACUGCAGUUACGACACUUCGACGUACUACAUCUUCUGGUACAAACAAGAAGCCAACGGAUCGCCUGACUUCAUCCUGGUCACAGAUCGGCCCGGUUCCAGGACGAAUGCCGAAAAGUACCGUGAAAGAUUUCGCUGCAGCAUGGAUGCCAGCGCUGGGCAAGCUCCUCUGCAUAUCGACAGCGUGAAGCCCAGCGACUCGGGAGUCUUCUACUGCGUUGUGCGGCCCACGCUGACACAUCCACUGGCGUGCCUGCACAAAAACACCUGCACCCGCCUCAUCUCAUGA